rnacentral:rRNA from 1 species
UCAGCAGGGACGAAGCGAGAGUGACGGUACCUGCAGAAGAAGCACCGGCCAACUACGUGCCAGCAGCCGCGGUAAUACGUAGGGUGCAAGCGUUGUCCGGAAUUAUUGGGCGUAAAGAGCUCGUAGGCGGUUCGUCGCGUCGGCUGUGAAAACCCGGAGCUCAACUCCGGGCCUGCAGUCGAUACGGGCGGACUUGAGUGUUGCAGGGGAGACUGGAAUUCCUGGUGUAGCGGUGAAAUGCGCAGAUAUCAGGAGGAACACCGGUGGCGAAGGCGGGUCUCUGGGCAACUACUGACGCUGAGGAGCGAAAGCGUGGGGAGCGAACAGGAUUAGAUACCCUGGUAGUCCACGCCGUAAACGUUGGGCGCUAGGUGUGGGGGCCAUUCCACGGUCUCCGUGCCGCAGCUAACGCAUUAAGCGCCCCGCCUGGGGAGUACGGCCGCAAGGCUAAAACUCAAAGGAAUUGACGGGGGCCCGCACAAGCGGCGGAGCAUGUUGCUUAAUUCGAUGCAACGCGAAGAACCUUACCUAGGCUUGACAUGCACGGAAAUCUCGCAGAGAUGCGGGGUCCGUAAGGGCCGUGCACAGGUGGUGCAUGGUUGUCGUCAGCUCGUGUCGUG